UGAAAUGCAAGUGCUUCGGCCCC
rnacentral:piRNA from 1 species